CCUACAUUCCAAGCCACUGAUCUAGGCCCUACCUAGGUGGCUUGUUCAAGUUGCAGUAACAGCCUCACCAAGCUUUCUGCCUCUUCCCCUUGCAUCCAAAUGCAAAUCUAUCCCAUAAACAGCAACAAGAAAUCUCUGCCCUGUACUGUCUGUAUAAUACUGCUACACAUUACCUUGCAAGAACAGCUCCAAAAUUCAUGCAGCCUCUAAACUGACUCAUAAUAUUGCAAAUACAAAGGGCUUCAUGGAAGAGUUUGCCUAAUUUACAGACAAGGAAACCACAUUCCAGCAACAUGAGUGUCUUCCCAAGGAGAUACAAUUUCAAAGUCCGGUCUCUGGAUGCAGGCUCCCCAUUUCAGCCCAGAGUUCUCUCAACCACGCUUGGCCGCAUUCAGCCCAGACCUUUUCAGUUUAAGAAAGGAGCACAGGUCCUUGUCCUGGUAUUCUGUGGCAUGCCAACGGAAUUUCUGGUAAAACCAGCUGAUUUUGUGGUGGUUGUUGUUAAUAUUAUGUUAUCUGCCACUAGAAUAAGCAAAAUAAAAACGGAAAACCUAUGGGCUGUGAAGAUUCUGGGGCCUAGCUAUUUAUAAAUGCUGAUGAGAUGAAAAUACAUGUUUUGAUAGGAGAGAUCUCACAACUUCUACCAACAAACCUACUUGUUCAGUAACGAAGUUCCGUAAUUUAUCCAAAUAUUCAUUGAGACUCUAUGGAAAGCACUUAUUUUAAAAGUCAAAUAAAAAGCCCAAUAAGGCAACAGAAACAUGGGGAAAGAAAAUAUUUCCCAGAAAAAGUGGCCUCCCUGAAGAAUUUCAAAUAACUGAUGUAAAUACUCCCUUUCUCCAGGAGGUGGUGCUAGAUUCCCCACCACUUGAGUGUGGGCUGGUGGACUUACUGCCUUGACUCCAAGGAACAGAGCAUGAAAGAGGGUGGGAGUAAGUUUGAGGGAGGGCCGUCCGGUAAACAUUAUCUUGGCUAGGUGACCAAGGCUUUAACAUCGCAUGUUUCGUCACAUGAUUCUAGCCUGUGCACCCACCACCACUCUGCUCCAGUGUGAUGAGACAUGAAGGGCACUCCACUCUCGGCACAUUCUUUCCAAACCCACGAGGCCAAACUAAUCAUAAGAAAAAGCUCAGAUAAAUUCAGACAUAUCCUAUAAAAUACCCACUUAAAACUUCAUAAAACUCUCAGAUCACGAAUAACAAUCAAAGACCGAGAAACUGUCACAGACCAGAAGAGACUGGGGCCAUAGGACAGUUAAUGCAAUCUGGAAACAUGGACUAGAUUCUGAAACAGAAAAAGCACAUUAACGGGAAACUAGUGAAAUCUGAAUCAAGACUACCAGCUUAGGAGUUCCCGUCGUGGCUCAGUGGUUAACGGAUCUGACUAGGAACCAUGAGGUUGUGGGUUCUUUCCUUGGCCUCGCUCCGUAGUUUAAGGAUCCGGCAUUGCCAUGAGCUGUGGUGGAGGUCGCAGACACGGCUUGGAUAUACUGAGUUGCUGUGGUGUAGGCCAGCAGCUACAGCUCCAAUUAGACCCCUGGCCUGGGAACUUGCGUAUGCCGCGUGUGCGGCCCUAAAAAGAUUAAAAAAAAAAAAAAAGACUACCCUACCAGCUUAACAGUCAGAUACCAGUGUUGGCUUCUCAGUUUUGAUACUGUGACAUCAUGCAAAGGUAACAUAAGAUCUAAUGUUAGGAGAAACUUGGCUAAGAGGACGGAGAAGACAAAGACUGGAAGCCACUCUGAUUCUGAGAAAGUAACACCCCAAGAACUCAGAGAAUUAGAGCCAUAAACAUAAAAAAAUGGCAAAACUACAGCUUGCAGCUCUUUUUUAAAAGACCAUUCAUCAAAAAGAAAAAAAACCUUGCACUUGUUUAGAGAAGCAAUGCAAUGGGAAACUGCCUAGUUAAAUUUUACCCUUAAUAAUCAGAUCUUACGGCAAAUAUUUAUGUUUAAAAUCCCACUAGAUAAAUAAACCAAAUUUUCCAAUAUAAAAAAAGAUGGGGUAGGGGAGUUCCUCUGCAGUACAGCAGGAUAAGGAUCCAGCACCGUCACUGCAGAGGCUCAGGAUGCGGCUGUGAUAUGGGUUCGAUCCCUGGCCCAGGAAAAAAAAAAAAGAGAGAAUUCCUGUCAUGGCACAGCGGAAACGAAUCCAAACAGUAUCCAUGAGGCUGCGGGUUUGAUCCCUGACCUUGCUCAGUGGGUUAAGGAUCUGGCAUUGCUGUGAGGUGCGGUGUAUGUCACAGACUCAGCUCGGAUCCCACAUUGCUGUGGCUGUGGUGUAGGCCGGCAGCUGUAGCUCUGAUUCAAUCCCUAGCCUGGGAACCUCCAGAAGCCACGGGUGUGGCCCUAAAAAGCCAAAAAAAAAAAAAAAUGGAUGGGGUAAGAUUGAAAGUUUUGUUUUACACUCCAAAUAACUUUCCAGAGGGAUGAUAGACAUUUUAAUUAUAUACCAAUUAUGAAAAUUCUUUUCAUCUUCAAAAGUCAUUAACUAAUCCUUACAACACCUCUGUGUUAUAUCAAUCUUAUUCUGAAGCAAAGACAACCUCCACUGAAAGGUUAAUAUAAAUUAGCUCCAUGUGGAAGGAAACCAGUCUCAGACUAGGAUGACAAUACUUGGGUUUUGAUGCAGCUAAUAAGAAGCCGAUGUGUCUGUGUGAUGCCAUAAACACGAGGACGUGAGGUCACCUAGGAGGACGCUCCCUAAGAGCAAAGCAGCGGGAAAUCCUAAAUCCAGACACUGGGCGCACACCUGUGUCCACCAGUGCCAUGAGGAACGCUGUGCGAGGACACGUUCCAAAGUCUUUUUCACAAGUUUCCACUCUGUGUGUGUUUGGGUUUACACUCAACCUAACAAAAGUACAUAAGGGGAAAAAACCAAGAUCAGACUUGAGGAAUUUUCUUAAUAGCUGAGUCAAAGUAAAUUCAAAGAAUGAAAAUAAUUUCUACUCAAAGGAAUCAGGUCACCAAGAAACGUAACUCACACAAGCUUAACCUUAAUUUCAGAAUCCACCACAUUGGGAGUUCCUAUUAUAGCUCAGCAGGUUGCAAACCCAACUAGUAUCCAUGAGGGUUCAGGUUCGACCCCUGGCCUCGCUCCAUGGGUUAAGGAUCCUGUGUUGCUGUGGCUGUGGUGUAGGCCAUCAGCUGCAGCUCCUAUUCGACUCCUAACCUGGGAACUUCCAUGAGCCACAAGUGUGGCCUUAAAAAAAGGAAAAAAAAAAAAAAAAAAAAUCCACUGCAUUGUCUGGUUCACAAAAUUUUUUUCAUUCUGCUUUUCGUUUUACAUAUACUCACAUGGGAGAGAAAGAAGGGACAUGAUAAAAGGAAAAAUUUAUUGAUCAACUAUUAUGUGACAGGCACUUUCACAAAUAUUAGCUUGUAAUCAUCACAACUCUCUGAAAAAGAUACCAAAGUCAGUUCUUCAAAAUUGAAAGACCAUGUAAACAUAGGAAAUGUCAUGAUUAAGUGAAAACAGCAAAUGAGAGAACUUGCCACAGGAAAGGUCCUGGGAAGACGGAAUGCCAACGAGCCUCGUUUCACUGAAGGAAGAGCCUGACCGAGUCAUUCAGCCGCCUGCUGCUCUACAGUGUGGCCGGUCAGGUCCUCGGGAGGCCAGGGUCAGCACCUACGCCAGAGACGAGUACAAACGCUGUCUCCAAGGAGGGAAACGGAAGGCUGGGAACGGGGAAGAAGUCUCCUGUUCAUCGUAUACAUCCUUUUCCAUCUUUUAAUUUUGUGCCACAUGCCUACACAUUACUCAUUCAAAUAUUCAAUAACAUUUUAUUUAAGGAAAAGAAGUCAACUACAGGAAAAGAGGCCCCACCCACCAAUUCAAAUCAAUCGCCUCCCCCAGCCAGGAGCACCGUGGUCCGAGGCCCUCCCCAUCCCAGAAAGGGGGUGUGCUGUCGGAACCCCACGGCCACGACAAGGUGUUACGCCACGUCUGACUAGGUCAAAUGAGAACUAAACCUCCUGCAGCUACCCGGAUGCAACUAGAGGUAGAUUCUCAUACUAAGAGAAGUAGUAGGUCAGGAAAAGAAAGACAAGCACAUGACAGCACUCACAUGCGGCAUGUAAAAUACGGCACAAAUGAACCUGUCUACGGACAUGGAGAACAGACGUGCGGUUGCCAGGGGGCAGUGGAGGGAGUGGGAUGGACGGGGAGUUUGGGGUUCGUAGGUGCAAACUGUUAGAUUUCGAAUGGAUAAGCAAUGAGGUCCUGCUGUACAGCACAGCGAACUUCAGCUGGUCUCUUGGGGCAGACCACGUUGGAAGAUACCAUGAGAAGAGGGAACGAAUGUUUACGUAUGACUGGGUCGCUUGGCUGAACAGCAAGAAUGGGCACAACACUGUAAAUCAGAAAGAGAGAGAGAGAGAGAAAAGGAAAGAAAAGAGAGAGAGUUACGAAAGAAAAGAGAGAGAAAGAAAGAGGAAGGAAGGACGGAUAGACGAAAUCUUGUAUUUAAACUCUUCGGUUUUACCCAAGUGCCCAACUCAAAAUGAACCCACAUUUUACUUUAUGGUUACACACACGUGACAUGAGCCUUGUUAGAAUUAUUAGACUAGCACUCUAAAAUCCAACAGAUGCUACUUUCAAAUAGCUUCUUCUUACACAGUCCCCUGAAAUCCUGCACACACACACCCUUUCCACUUGAUGUGAACUGUCACACAUUCUAAGUACACUCAUUACUUACCAAACAGUGACACCUCUGUCAACUGGAAGGCACAAUGUUAAAAAGUAGGUAGUUACGUAUCUAUCAAAAAACCUCAGCUAGGAGGCUGGUUCUAGGUUGAAAGAAACAAUAUGCUAGAAAGAAAUGCAGUCUGGAGAAUUUUCACCCAAGUCAGGGUGAAAGGACACAAUACUCAUAAACAAGUUAGGCGGACGGUACACUCCUUGAAGAGAAACGUUCAGAGCAAUAAGAAGGCAGGCAAGCUGAGUGUGAGGCCAAAAAAAAAAAAAAAAAUCAAAGCAAGCUGCAAGGUUUCUAAUACGAGGAGCUUAAGAUAAUCAAUCCCGAUACCAGGACCAGAUUCAGUCACAAGGAAGUUUCUUAGAGACUUGGUUCCGAUGUCCUCAUGUGAAACGGAGCUGACUGACCCGUACGUAUUCCGGCCAAGUCAGCAUGAAGAUCCUCAAGUAUGAGUUCCUCCCAUUCCAAAGGCCUGCCAGGAGCUCUCUUGCGGUGCAACCAGUCAAGGAUCCCGCACUGCUACCGCAGCAGCUCGGGCCACUGCUGUGGCUGGUCUGACCCGAGAAUUUCCACAUCCUGAGGCCACAGCCAAACAGAUUAAUUAAUUAAUUAAAGGCCAACAGAUAAUCAACUCACGCAGCUCUCAGCUACAAAAUACCAGACACACGCAACUAUCUAAAUAAUGGGGGGGGGAUAAUAGGGGGGGUGGGAUUAAGACGGCGGGAUAGGAGGACUGGAGCUCAACUUCUCUCCUAAAAACAACAAAAUUCACAACCAAAUGCUGAGCAAUCUCCACCCAAAUGGACCGGAAACCUUCAAAAAGAUACCCUCCUCCAGAAGACAAAGAGGAGGCCACAUCAAGAGGCAGGAGGGGUGAUUACGUGACAUAAGCAACCCCAUACCUCCCGGGUGGGAAGCCCCACAGACUGGAAAGUAACUGGUUCAGAGACUCACCUACAGGAGUGAGGGUUCUGAGCCCCACACCAAACUCCCACAUCUGGGGAUCUGGCGCUGGGAGAAAGAGCCCCUGGAGCAUCUGGCAUUGAAGGCCAGGGGGCUUGUGCGCAGCCGCUCCACGGGACUGGGGGAAACGGAGACCCCAUUCUUAAAAGGCACACACAGACUUUCACAUGCACUGGGUCCCAGGGCAAAGCAAAGUCUCCAUAGGAAUCUGGGUCAAAUCUGACUGCAGUCUUUGGAGGACCUCCUGGGAAAGCAGGGUGAAUGUGGCAUGUGGUGGGGGAAGGACAUGGGAAGCACAGCUCUCGGGAAUCGUCAUCAGUGUACCUUUCCCUGGAGGUGGCCAUUUGGGGAAAAUCUGGCCCCACCCAUCAGCACUGAGAAGCCCCAGGGCAAACAACAGUCCAGGUGGGAUCACAGCCCCGCCCCUCAGUAAACCAGCAACUACUAAAAGACCCCCCAGGCACACAGCCAUCUCCAAUCCCAUCCAGAGACAAAGCCCCACCCACCAGAGGGAUAAGAAUCAGCUCCACCUGCCAGUGAGCAGGCACCACUCCCUCCCAUCAGGAAGCCUACAGCAAGCCCCCUACCAACUUCAGCCACAAGGGGGGCAGACACCAGAAGUAAGAGAGGCUACAACUCUAUUAUCUGUAGAAUGGUCACCACCCCAAAAACCUAUAAAAAUGAAGAGACAGAGGACUAUAACUCAGAUGAGAGAGAAAGAAAAACCCCAGAAAAUCAGCUAUGUGAUCAGGAGAUUCUCAGCCUCCAGGAAAAAGACUUUAGACUGUUGAUGCUGAAGAUGAUGCAAGACACUGGAAAUAAACUGGAGGCAAAGAUGGAUAACUUACAGGAAACACUGAGCAAAGAGAUACAAGAUAUAAAACGUAAACAAGAAGAGAUGCAAAAUACAAUAACUGAAAUUAAAAACUCACUAGAAGCAGCCAACUGCAGAAUACAGGGGGCAGAAGAACAAAUAAGCGAGGUGGAGG
rnacentral:lncRNA from 1 species